UUUAUGCGUUAGGAUCAAGAAGUGGAGUAGCUUGCUUAAAUGGCGUUUUACUUGAACAAAUAAUGCGUUAUAAGCAGGCUCAUCCAGAACGCAAAAUUAUUGUUAUUUGUCAUUGGGGUGUCGACAUUUGAUGGAGCAUUUCUUGCAAAGGUUUGGUCAUCCCGACUUACCAAACCGAUGCAAACUCCGAAUACCUAUGAGUACUAUCCGGGAGACAGACUGCGGGUGCUAACGUCCGUAGUCAAGAGGAAAACAAUCCAGACCGCCAGCUAAGGCCCCAAAAUCAUAGUUAAGUGGGAAACGAUGUGGGAAGGCAUAGACAGCUAGGAGGUUGGCUUAGAAGCAGCCACCCUUUAAAGAAAGCGUAAUAGCUCACUAGUCGAGUCGGCCUGCGCGGAAGAUGUAACGGGGCUAAAACUAUGUGCCGAAGCUGCGGAUUUGACAUUAGUCAAGUGGUAGGGGAGCGUUCUGUAAGCCGAUGAAGGUGUAUUGAGAAGUAUGCUGGAGGUAUCAGAAGUGCGAAUGCUGACGUGAGUAACGACAAAACGGGUGAAAAACCCGUUCGCCGAAAGACCAAGGGUUCCAGUCCAACGUUAAUCGGGGCUGGGUGAGUCGACCCCUAAGGCGAGGCCGAAAGGCGUAGUCGAUGGGAAAAUGGUUAAUAUUCCAUUACUUCUGUGUAAUGCGAUGAGAGGACGGAGAAGGCUAAAUCAGCCUGGCGUUGGUUGUCCAGGUGAAAGGAUGUAGGCAUGUAUCUUAGGCAAAUCCGGGGUACUCUAUGCUGAGAUCUGAUAGCAAGCUGUACUUGUACAGCGAAGUGGUUGAUGCCAUGCUUCCAGGAAAAGUCUCUAAGCUUCAGUUACACAGGAAUCGUACCCGAAACCGACACAGGUGGUCAGGUCGAGUAGACCAAGGCGCUUGAGAGAACUCUGCUGAAGGAACUAGGCAAAAUGGUACCGUAACUUCGGGAGAAGGUACGCUGUUGUUGGUGAUGGAACUCGCUUCCUGAGCUGACGACAGCCGCAGAAACCAGGCCGCUGCAACUGUUUAUUAAAAACAUAGCACUCUGCAAACACGAAAGUGGACGUAUAGGGUGUGAUGCCUGCCCGGUGCUGGAAGGUUAAUUGAUGGGGUUAGCGUAAGCGAAGCUCUUGAUCGAAGCCCCAGUAAACGGCGGCCGUAACUAUAACGGUCCUAAGGUAGCGAAAUUCCUUGUCGGGUAAGUUCCGACCUGCACGAAUGGCAUAAUGAUGGCGGCGCUGUCUCCAGCAGAGGCUCAGUGAAAUCGAAAUCGCUGUGAAGAUGCAGUGUACCCGCGGCUAGACGGAAAGACCCCGUGAACCUUUACUGCAGCUUGACACUGAACUUUGACCUUACUUGUGUAGGAUAGGUGGGAGGCUUUGAAGCUGGAACGCUAGUUCCAGUGGAGCCGUCCUUGAAAUACCACCCUGGUAAUGUUGAGGUUCUAACUCUGUCCCGUGAUCCGGGACGAGGACCGUGUCUGGUGGGUAGUUUGACUGGGGCGGUCUCCUCCUAAAGAGUAACGGAGGAGUACGAAGGUGCGCUCAGCGUGGUCGGAAAUCACGCGUAGAGUAUAAAGGCAAAAGCGCGCUUAACUGCGAGACCCACAAGUCGAGCAGGUACGAAAGUAGGUCUUAGUGAUCCGGUGGUUCUGUAUGGAAGGGCCAUCGCUCAACGGAUAAAAGGUACUCUGGGGAUAACAGGCUGAUACCGCCCAAGAGUUCAUAUCGACGGCGGUGUUUGGCACCUCGAUGUCGGCUCAUCUCAUCCUGGGGCUGAAGCAGGUCCCAAGGGUAUGGCUGUUCGCCAUUUAAAGAGGUACGCGAGCUGGGUUUAGAACGUCGUGAGACAGUUCGGUCCCUAUCUACCGUGGGCGCUGGAAAUUUGAGAGGAUCUGCUCCUAGUACGAGAGGACCAGAGUGGACGAACCUCUGGUGUACCGGUUGUGACGCCAGUCGCAUCGCCGGGUAGCUAUGUUCGGAAGGGAUAACCGCUGAAAGCAUCUAAGCGGGAAGCCUACCUCAAGAUAAGAUUUCCCUAGGACUUUAUGUCCUCUAAAGAGCCGUUCGAGACUAGGACGUUGAUAGGUUGGAUGUGGAAGCAUAGUGAUAUGUGAAGCUGACCAAUACUAAUUGCUCGUGAGGCUUGACU
rnacentral:rRNA from 1 species